rnacentral:lncRNA from 1 species
CAGACUUUCCUUGUUUCCCCAAACAGGGUUGGGAUUGUUACCUCCUCAGCAGAUUCAAGGUUUGUGACUUCCCUAGCAGGGUCGGGAUAGUUAUAUCCCCAACAGGUUUGAGAUCGGUUUUUCCUCAGCAGCCAGGCCUGAAGAUUGCUAUUUCCCAGCGGAGGUGUCUGUUGGUAGUUGUUUCCCUAUCAUGGCGGAGCGUGUUAGUUCCCCAGCAAGUCAAAGAUUGUUG